GCGCAGUCAGCAUCCCUCUCUCCCAGCCCAAGUGAGAGAAUCGCCUCCACCUCAGAGCUACAGCUCCCGGGUCUUUAGCAUUCUAGGCUUUUCCUUACGAAGUAGAAAGGUCCAUGCUGGCCUUACCUCUGGGGCUGCUUUCCUUCUCUGUCUUUCGAUGAAUCAGCACUAACGAGAGCCCAGCUGAGGAUAGAGGAGGCAGCCAUCUGCAAGCUGGAAAGAGAGUCCUCACCAGAAAUUGAGCCCUGUUGGACCUUGAUCUUGGUCUUCCAUUUUUCAGAACUGUGAGAAAAUAAAAGUCUGCUGUUUAAACCAA